rnacentral:rRNA from 1 species
AUUGAACGCUGGCGGCAUGCCUUACACAUGCAAGUCGAACGGUAACGCGGGGGCAACCCUGGCGACGAGUGGCGAACGGGUGAGUAAUACAUCGGAACGUACCCAGUAGUGGGGGAUAGCUCGGCGAAAGCCGGAUUAAUACCGCAUACGACCUAUGGGUGAAAGCGGGGGAGUCGCAAGACCUCGCGCUAUUGGAGCGGCCGAUGUCGGAUUAGCUAGUUGGUGAGGUAAGGCCACCAAGGCUACGAUCCGUAGCUGGUCUGAGAGGACGACCAGCCACACUGGGACUGAGACACGGCCCAGGACUCCUACGGGAGGCAGCAGUGGGAAUUUUGACAAUGGGCAAAGCCUGAUCCAGCCAUGCCG